GGACCACGAGCAUGAUGGGAAUAGACGAACACCAGGUCGUUUUUUUCACGGAGGUCUUGUUCAAUAUAAAGAUAUAUCACAUCAGACACAAAGAGAUGGAGGAGAGUGCAGCAGGAAGAAAAAUGCCGUUCCAGUUCAGCAGUCAAGCCUCUCAGCGCCUCGCCGCUCCGGCUUCUCAAAUUGACAAUUUUUACCAACUGUUAUCCAGAAAGAUGAGAGAGCUUCCUUUAUACACACGCCUGAAGAGAUGGCUCUUUGGACAAGUAAACAGGUGCACUGGGAAAAUAUCUGCCGACCUGACUUCCCUCAUAUCUUCAAAAGUCGCCACAUAAAGUGACAUUACUGCUAGGUAAGUUGUCAGUACUGUUAUUUAGAUUAUUUAUUGCAUGAAUGGGUAAUAAUUAAUCAAACUGGAUGAAGUACUUG